UCGAGAAUCUUCCGCAAUGGGCGAAAGCCUGACGGAGCGACACCGCGUGCAGGAUGAAGGCCUUCGGGUUGUAAACUGCUGUCACGCUAUAGGAACAGCUCUUCGGAGUCUGACCAAAGCGAAAGGAAGCACCGGCUAACUCCGUGCCAGCAGCCGCGGUAAGACGGAGGGUGCAAACGUUGCUCGGAAUCACUGGGCAUAAAGCGCACGUAGGCGGCUCUUUAAGUCGGAUGUGAAAUCCCCCGGCUCAACCGGGGAACUGCAUCCGAUACUGGGGAGCUCGAGAAUGGUUGGGGUGAGUGGAACUCCAGGUGGAGCGGUGAAAUGCGUAGAUAUCUGGAGGAACACCGGUGGCGAAAGCGGCUCACUGGACCAUCACUGACGCUGAGGUGCGAAAGCUAGGGGAGCAAACGGG
rnacentral:rRNA from 1 species